ensembl:lncRNA
GGCUCGGGCCAGUGCGAGGCAGUCGCCACAGUCAGUCACGGUUCCUGGGCGACAGCGGCCUCCACGGGCACUCCAGCACCCGGCAGGGGAGGAGGGCACCCAAGUCCACGCCGGCCUCCGAGCCACUCCAUGGCGCCGGAGUCCACAACCCGGCCCUCCCAGGGGACAGUCAUGGCGUCCCAGGUGAACCCAUCGGAGAAGAAGAAAGAUAAAAAGGGGAAGAACAUCCAGACGGUGGCGAGAUGCAGGGAUCAUCAAACAUCUGCAGUCUCUCAGAAACAUCAGAAGAUGGAUUAAGGAGAUCAAAGAGCUCUUCAUUAUAGAUUUCCAAUAGUGACACUUUCACUGACAAUUCAGUACCAUUAUCAGUAAGUUUCUCAAAAAUCUGAUGAAGAGUACGCGGAAUUAUACCAGCCAAAAGAUCCUCCUCUCAAGUAUACUCUUCAUUAGGGGUCCUUUCACCUUCCAUUGUAAAGGUUUUUCCACUGCCGGUUUGGCCAUAUGCAAAAAUAGCGCAAUUAUAGCCCAUAAUAACUUCAUCCAGAAUUGGACAAACAACACUUCGGUAAACGUCAAUUUGUUUAGUAUUUGCUCCAAAAACCAUAUCAAAAGUGUAUGUUUUCCUUGAGCUUUCCUCCGCCAGUCCUCAGUUUGAACACUAACUUCCUUCCGCACAUGAUCACAUUCCACUACUGAAUGGGCAUUAGCGUUCUGCUCUGCCAGAUUAAAUGGUCUGCAUCUCACCACCACCUGGACGCUCCUCCCCGCUUCAUCCCUUUCCCCCACAGAUGAAUUCGGCUGAGACGCCACGACCGUCCCCCAAGAAGGCCAGGCCAUGGACCUGGGUGCCGUCGAGCGCACAGCGGCCCGGUGGCUGGCGCGGACCAGGGCGCCCAUGGAAAUCGCCAUUGCCCAGGAACCGUGACUGACCGGGGCGCCUGCCGGGCACCAGCCUGAGCCCUCCAGCCGCAAACCCAGUCGCCGCCCCAAGUCCAGGAAACCGAGCAACCACUCGGCGCCUCACUCUCAAAAAGGAGCCAACUGGCCGGGCAAACGGCAG